rnacentral:rRNA from 1 species
AUUGAACGCUGGCGGCAGGCCUAACACAUGCAAGUCGAGCGGAUGAAGGGAUCUUGCUCCUGGAUUCAGCGGCGGACGGGUGAGUAAUGCCUAGGAAUCUGCCUGGUAGUGGGGGAUAACGUCCGGAAACGGGCGCUAAUACCGCAUACGUCCUGAGGGAGAAAGUGGGGGAUCUUCGGACCUCACGCUAUCAGAUGAGCCUAGGUCGGAUUAGCUAGUUGGUGGGGUAAAGGCCUACCAAGGCGACGAUCCGUAACUGGUCUGAGAGGAUGAUCAGUCACACUGGAACUGAGACACGGUCCAGACUCCUACGGGAGGCAGCAGUGGGGAAUAUUGGACAAUGGGCGAAAGCCUGAUCCAGCCAUGCCGCGUGUGUGAAGAAGGUCUUCGGAUUGUAAAGCACUUUAAGUUGGGAGGAAGGGCAGUAAGUUAAUACCUUGCUGUUUUGACGUUACCAACAGAAUAAGCACCGGCUAACUUCGUG